rfam:Lupinus angustifolius cultivar Tanjil chromosome LG04, whole genome shotgun sequence.
GGGGGAGUGUGGUGGCAAGGCUGAAACUUAAAGGAAUUGAUGGAAGGGAACAACCAGGAGUGGAGGCUGCAUCUUAGUUUGGCUCAACACGGGGACACUGACCAGGUCUAGACAUGGUAAGGAUUGAUAGAAUGAGAGCUCUUUCUUGAUUAUAUGGGUGGUGGAGCAUGGACGUUCUUAGUUGGUGGAUCAAUUUGUUUGUUUAAUUCCACUAACGAACCAAGGCUUAGCCUGCUAACUAUCUAUGUGGAGGUAACCCUCCACGACUAGCUUCAUAGAGGGACUAUGGCAGCUUAGGCCAUGGAAGUUUGAGGCAGCAACGAGUCUAUGAUGCCCUUAGAUGUUCUAGGCCGCACACAUGCUACACUAAUGUAUUCAACGAGUCUAUAGCCUUGCCUGACAGGCCCAAGUAAUCUUUGAAAUUUCAUCGUGAUGGGGAUAUAUCAUUGCAAUUGUUGGUCUUCUACGAGGAAUUCCUAGUAAGUGCGAGUCAUUAGCUUACGUUGACUAUGUCCCUACCCUUUGUACACAUUAUCCGUCGCUCCUUCAUUGAAUGGUCCGGUGAAGUGUUCGGAUUGCGACAACGUUGUGAGAAGUCCACUAAACCUUAUCAUUUAGAGGAAGGAGAAGUCGUAACAAGGUUUCUGUAGGUGAACCUGCAUAAA